GCCAAAUGCUAUUAGUUCUGUUUUCAUGUAAUUAUUGUGUAGCAAGCCGCCUGUUACCCUUGGCCCAGGCAGCAGGGAGAAAGGUUAUGUACAUGGACUAUUACUCAGCCAUAAAAAAGGAUGGAAUCUUGCUAUUUCUGACAACAUGGAUGAACCUAGAAGAAGAAAGACAAAACAAAACCCAGUAGAAUGACAACAUCAACAGAAGAAAUCCCCUGAGCCAUCUAGCCCCUAGCAGCAAGCCAAGAAAAAGCAAACCAGGAUUAAGAAAUGAGUGGAUAAUCUGGGAUGGCAGAAGAAUGAAGUAAGCAGUUUCUGCAGCCAGAGAUCUUCCCUCAGGCUAGAAGGUGACACAAGCAAUUUUCUCUGAACCAUCUGGACUUGAGCAAUAAAUCAAGUAAA